AGUGAACGCUGGCGGCGUGCUCAACACAUGCAAGUCGAACGAGAACGGGUUAUAGCUUGCUAUAAUUGUCAGCUAAGUGGCGCACGGGUGAGUAAUGUAUAGGUAAUAUGCCUCUUACUAAGGGAUAACAAAUGGAAACGUUUGCUAAUACCUUAUACUCCUUCUUAACAGAAGUUAAUAAGGGAAAGAUUUAUUGGUAAGAGAUUAGCCUGUAUUGUAUCAGUUAGUUGGUGGGGUAAUGGCUUACCAAUACUAUGACACAUAACUGGUUUGAGAGGAUGAUCAAUCACACUGGAACUGAGACACGGUCCAGACUCCUACGGGAGGCAGCAGUGGGGAAUAUUGCACAAUGGACGAAAGUCUGAUGCAGCAACGCCGCGUGGAGGAUGACACAUUUCGGUGCGUAAACUCCUUUUGUAUGAGAAGAUAAUGACGGUAUUAUAUGAAUAAGCACCGGCUAACUCCGUGCCAGCCGCCGCCGUAA
rnacentral:rRNA from 1 species